GAGUUUGAUCAUGGCUCAGGAUGAACGCUAGCGGGAGGCUUAACACAUGCAAGCCGAGGGGUAUAGUUAGCUUGCUAACUAGAGACCGGCGCACGGGUGCGUAACGCGUAUGCAACUUGCCCUACUGAAAAGGAUAGCCCUUCGAAAGGAGGAUUAAUACUUUAUAACAGAUUUAAUGGCAUCAUUAGAUUUUGAAAGAUUUAUCGCAGUAGGAUAGGCAUGCGUAAGGUUAGUUAGUUGGUGAGGUAACGGCUCACCAAGACGAUGAUCUUUAGGGGGCCUGAGAGGGUGAACCCCCACACUGGUACUGAGACACGGACCAGACUCCUACGGGAGGCAGCAGUGAGGAAUAUUGGACAAUGGGUGGAAGCCUGAUCCAGCCAUCCCGCGUGUAGGAUGACGGCCUUAUGGGUUGUAAACUACUUUUAUCUGGGGAUAAACCUACUCACGUGUGAGUAGCUGAAGGUACCAGAAGAAUAAGCACCGGCUAACUCCGUGCCAGCAGCCGCGGUAAUACGGAGGGUGCAAGCGUUAUCCGGAUUUAUUGGGUUUAAAGGGUCCGUAGGCGGAUUAAUCAGUCAGUGGUGAAAUCUCAUAGCUUAACUAUGAAACUGCCAUUGAUACUGUUAGUCUUGAGUGAUGUUGAAGUUGCUGGAAUGUGUAGUGUAGCGGUGAAAUGCUUAGAUAUUACGCAGAACACCAAUUGCGAAGGCAGGUGACUAAACAUCAACUGACGCUGAUGGACGAAAGCGUGGGGAGCGAACAGGAUUAGAUACCCUGGUAGUCCACGCCGUAAACGAUGGAUACUUGCUGUUGGAUUUUCGGAUUCAGUGGCUAAGCGAAAGUUAUAAGUAUCCCACCUGGGGA
rnacentral:rRNA from 1 species